rnacentral:rRNA from 1 species
ACAUGCAAGUCGAGGGGCAGCAUUGGAGUAGCAAUACUUCAGAUGGCGACCGGCGCACGGGUGAGUAACACGUAUCCAACCUGCCGCUUACUCGGGGAUAGCCUUUCGAAAGAAAGAUUAAUACCCGAUGGUAUAAAGAGUUCGCAUGUUCUCUUUAUUAAAGAAUUUCGGUAAGCGAUGGGGAUGCGUUCCAUUAGAUAGUUGGCGGGGUAACGGCCCACCAAGUCUACGAUGGAUAGGGGUUCUGAGAGGAAGGUCCCCCACAUUGGAACUGAGACACGGUCCAAACUCCUACGGGAGGCAGCAGUGAGGAAUAUUGGUCAAUGGACGAGAGUCUGAACCAGCCAAGUAGCGUGAAGGAUGACUGCCCUAUGGGUUGUAAACUUCUUUUAUAAGGGAAUAAAGUGAGGGACGUGUCCCUUUUUGUAUGUACCUUAUGAAUAAGGAUCGGCUAACUCCGUGCCAGCAGCCGCGGUAAUACGGAGGAUCCAAGCGUUAUCCGGAUUUAUUGGGUUUAAAGGGAGCGUAGGUUGACAUAUAAGUCAGCUGUGAAAGUUUACGGCUCAACCGUGAAAUUGCAGUUGAUACUGUAUGUCUUGAGUGUACAAGAGGUGGGCGGAAUUCGUGGUGUAGCGGUGAAAUGCUUAGAUAUCACGAAGAACUCCAAUUGCGAAGGCAGCUCACUGGGGUACAACUGACACUGAGGCUCGAAAGUGUGGGUAUCAAACAGGAUUAGAUACCCUGGUAGUCCACACAGUAAACGAUGAAUACUCGCUGUUU